AAGGCAGAAACACAUUACCGUGACGUGUCGUGGCGCUGCGCCGUGGCCACCAAUCGGAUGCAAGCGUUAGGCGAACCAUGCGACACGACACAAUGUACAGUGUGUGUCUACCCGUUAUAAAUGUAUGAAACCGAUACCUACGCUACUGGAGCGCCACAACACGCCAGGCCACGGUAAUUAGUUUCUGCCUUUAACCGAUUACUACGUGUCAUGUGUGAGCGAGAUGCCGCUAAAGGUAGGUUGCACAAUCGUAUAUAUUAGAAGUUAUGAUAGUCGCCACCCGCCAUUACUGUCACGGAAACCUAACCGUCGAGAAAACUCUGAACCCGAGGCUUUGUUAAUCUUCCUCUUAUUGCUACCUGAUAUACGGAACUAUAUUUCUGAAUAAUUUUCCCAGCAGACUACGUCAUCUGCUUUGGAGACCAGGAAGCAAAGAUGUUUAACGACACUAAUCAAGAUACCAGCGAGUUAACAAUGGAAACUUUCCAAUUAGUAUUACUACUGUUCCACCGGACUGACCCAGGACCAGAUGUUGGUACAGUUCGAACUGGAAGAUAUCAAGUUGGAUGAAACGAAAUGUUACUUGAUCUGCAUCAAAAUAGAUAUUCAUCACGCAAGAAAGAGCGGAGAUAUAAUCGCGUACCCGCAAAAAAGCAGUAAAUAUGAAAAGUCCAAAAACCAAAAAUAUUUUUUGGCAUUAAACAAGAAGAAGUGUGCAGAAUUACCUGGGUCAUUGGCAAUUCAAUGGCUACGGUAAUAUCCUCAAGUUUACUGCAGACAAGCAGUCUACCCUCAACGACCCUUAGGGCAGAACAUUUAUGACUUCUCAAUCCAAAAUGGAUAUGGCCGAGCCUAGCUGAUUGUGAGUGGGAUCAGACUGACUAGAUACGAAAAUUCUGCUGUAUGCUACUCUCAUCAAAACUUCAUAUAAUAAGUGAGGUGAAAAAGAGACAAGACAGCUUGACCACAUCACAUAAUGAAGAAAGGAUUGAAGACCAAGACCUGCUGAAAAGUUCGCUGGCCGGCAACUCAUCAUCCGAGUAUCUUGUUGAAGCAAAUGCUGGUUGAAGAUAUCUCACUGUUUGUACUACAGUACAACUAGAUAUCUACUUGUAAGUAAGACUUAACAAGUUAGGAAAGCUAGUACUAAGCGUUACGCGCUCGUCUUAAUUCCAUAUAAACCAGUGAUCGAGGAGGUCAUUCACACCGAUAUUUGAUCGUUUCUUUUACAUCACAUUCUGCAGCUUUACACCCUUACAUUUAAUAGGACUCACUCACAAAUAAACUCAAAUCCAACAGUGAGACACGGGACCACUCUCAUUUGGGUCAGUGACCUCUAUUUUUGUAUUUUAUGUGUUUCGCUCAGAACCACCGUCUUAGCUCACCCUUUCAUCGUUGUCGUUUCGUCGUCAUUCUUACCGUUGCUACAAACGUAAGCAAGGAAUCAAAAGUACUCACAAUAUGAGGCUACUUUAUAAAAAAAAUCGGACUACCGUCAAGAUGAAAUAUUUCUUCAAUAAUCAU